GAGCGACUCAAAAACAGAUUUCGAUCGAGCGGUUGACUACUUGAGAGAUGGAAGCUUGCUUAACGAUCUAAGCAACGAGCAGAAGCUUCAGCUGUAUGCGUUUUACAAGCAGGCCACGAAGGGAGCCUGCGAAGAAGCGAAACCGAGCAAAUUGAAGAUGGUCGAUAGAAAAAAAUGGGAGGCCUGGAACAGCGUUUCCGAAAUGUCCAAGCAAGAGGCAGAGAAAAAGUACAUUGAUCUAGUCACAAAGCUUUUCCCAGG